rnacentral:rRNA from 1 species
AACGAACGCUGGCGGCAUGCCUAACACAUGCAAGUCGAACGAGACCUUCGGUCUAGUGGCGCACGGGUGCGUAACGCGUGGGAACCUGCCUUUAGGUUCGGAAUAACUCAGAGAAAUUUGAGCUAAUACCGGAUAAUGUCUUCGGACCAAAGAUUUAUCGCCUUUAGAUGGGCCCGCGUUGGAUUAGCUAGUUGGUGGGGUAAAGGCCUACCAAGGCGACGAUCCAUAGCUGGUCUGAGAGGAUGAUCAGCCACACUGGGACUGAGACACGGCCCAGACUCCUACGGGAGGCAGCAGUUGGGGGAAUAUUGGACAAUGGGCGAAAGCCUGAUCCAGCAAUGCCGCGUGAGUGAUGAAGGCCUUAGGUUGUAAAGCUCUUUUACCCGU